rnacentral:rRNA from 1 species
UCUAAGACGAGGAUAACGACUGGAAACGGUCGCUAAAACUGGAUAGGAUCAUUUGAGGCAUCUCGAAUGAUUUAAAGGGGCUUUCAAGCCACACUUAGAGAAAGGCCUGGCGGCGCAUUAGCUAGUUGGUGGGGUAGAGGCCUACCAAGGCGAUGAUGCGUAGCCGGACUGAGAGGUCGAACGGCCACAUUGGGACUGAGACACGGCCCAAACUCCUACGGGAGGCAGCAGUAGGGAAUUUUCGGCAAUGGGGGAAACCCUGACCGAGCAACGCCGCGUGAAUGAAAAGAUGUAUUUCGGUAUGUAAAGUUCUUUUAUUAAGGAAGAAUAUCACGGAUAGGAAAUGAUCUGUGAGUGACGGUACUUAAUGAAUAAGCCCCGGCUAACUAUGUGCCAGCCGCGGC